GGUUGAUCCUGCCGGAGGCCACCGCUAUGGGGGUCCGACUAAGCCAUGCGAGUCAUGGGGCGCGCUCUGCGCGCACCGGCGGACGGCUCAGUAACACGUCGGUAACCUACCCUCGGGGGGGGGAUAACCCCGGGAAACUGGGGCUAAUCCCCCAUAGGCCUGAGGUACUGGAAGGUCCUCAGGCCGAAAGGGCGUAAGCCGCCCGAGGAUGGGCCGGCGGCCGAUUAGGUAGUUGGUGGGGUAACGGCCCACCAAGCCGAAGAUCGGUACGGGCCAUGAGAGUGGGAGCCCGGAGAUGGACACUGAGACACGGGUCCAGGCCCUACGGGGCGCAGCAGGCGCGAAACCUCCGCAAUGCGGGAAACCGCGACGGGGGGACCCCCAGUGCCGUGGCAUCGCCACGGCUUUUCCGGAGUGUAAAGAGCUCCGGGAAUAAGGGCUGGGCAAGGCCGGUGGCAGCCGCCGCGGUAAUACCGGCGGCCCGAGUGGUGGCCGCUAUUAUUGGGCCUAAAGCGUCCGUAGCCGGGCCCGUAAGUCCCUGGCGAAAUCCCACGGCAUCAAACCGUGGGGCUUGCUGGGGAUACUGCGGGCCUUGGGACCGGGAGAGGCCGGGGGUACUCCUGGGGUAGGGGUGAAAUCCUAUAAUCCCAGGAGGACCGCCAGUGGCGAAGGCGCCCGGCUGGAACGGGUCCGACGGUGAGGGACGAAGGCCAGGGGAGCGAACCGGAUUAGAUACCCGGGUAGUCCUGGCUGUAAAGGAUGCGGGCUAGUGUCGGGCGAGCUUCGAGCUCGCCCGGUGCCGAAGGGAAGCCGUUAAGCCCGCCGCCUGGGGAGUACGGCCGCAAGGCUGAAACUUAAAGGAAUUGGCGGGGGAGCACUACAAGGGGUGGAGCGUGCGGUUUAAUUGGAUUCAACGCCGGGAACCUCACCGGGGGCGACGGCAGGAUGAAGGCCAGGCUGAAGGUCUUGCCGGACACGCCGAGAGGAGGUGCAUGGCCGCCGUCAGCUCGUACCGUGAGGCGUCCACUUAAGUGUGGUAACGAGCGAGACCCGCGCCCCCAGUUGCCAGUCCUCCCCGCUGGGGAGGAGGCACUCUGGGGGGACCGCCGGCGAUAAGCCGGAGGAAGGAGCGGGCGACGGUAGGUCAGUAUGCCCCGAAACCCCCGGGCUACACGCGCGUACAAUGGCGGAACAAUGGGAUCCGACCCCGAAAGGGGAAGGGAAUCCCCUAAACCCGCCCCCAGUUCGGAUCGCGGGCUGCAACUCGCCCGCGUGAAGCUGGAAUCCCUAGUACCCGCGUGUCAUCAUCGCGCGGCGAAUACGUCCUGCUCCUUGCACACACCGCCCGUCACUCCA
rnacentral:rRNA from 1 species